GACGAACGCUGGCGGCGUGCUUAACACAUGCAAGUCGAACGAAGAGCGAUGGAAGCUUGCUUCUAUCAAUCUUAGUGGCGAACGGGUGAGUAACGCGUAAUCAACCUGCCCUUCAGAGGGGGACAACAGUUGGAAACGACUGCUAAUACCGCAUACGAUCUAAUCUCGGCAUCGAGGAUAGAUGAAAGGUGGCCUCUACAUGUAAGCUAUCACUGAAGGAGGGGAUUGCGUCUGAUUAGCUAGUUGGAGGGGUAACGGCCCACCAAGGCGAUGAUCAGUAGCCGGUCUGAGAGGAUGAACGGCCACAUUGGGACUGAGACACGGCCCAGACUCCUACGGGAGGCAGCAGUGGGGAAUCUUCCGCAAUGGACGAAAGUCUGACGGAGCAACGCCGCGUGAGUGAUGACGGCCUUCGGGUUGUAAAGCUCUGUUAAUCGGGACGAAAGGCCUUCUUGCGAAUAGUUAGAAGGAUUGACGGACCGAAUAGAA
rnacentral:rRNA from 1 species